GGGGAGCUUGCUCCCUGGUGGCGAGCGGCGGACGGGUGAGUAAUGCAUAGGAAUCUGCCCGGUAGUGGGGGAUAACGUGGGGAAACCCACGCUAAUACCGCAUACGUCCUACGGGAGAAAGCGGAGGAUCUUCGGACUUCGCGCUAUCGGAUGAGCCUAUGUCGGAUUAGCUAGUUGGUAAGGUAACGGCUUACCAAGGCGACGAUCCGUAGCUGGUCUGAGAGGAUGAUCAGCCACACUGGGACUGAGACACGGCCCAGACUCCUACGGGAGGCAGCAGUGGGGAAUAUUGGACAAUGGGCGAAAGCCUGAUCCAGCCAUGCCGCGUGUGUGAAGAAGGCUUUCGGGUUGUAAAGCACUUUCAGCGAGGAAGAAAGCCUCUGGGUUAAUACCCUAGAGGAACGACAUCACUCGCAGAAGAAGCACCGGCUAACUCCGUGCCAGCAGCCGCGGUAAUACGGAGGGUGCGAGCGUUAAUCGGAAUUACUGGGCGUAAAGCGCGCGUAGGUGGCUUGGCACGCCGGUUGUGAAAGCCCCGGGCUCAACCUGGGAACGGCAUCCGGAACGGUCAGGCUAGAGUGCAGGAGAGGAAGGUAGAAUUCCCGGUGUAGCGGUGAAAUGCGUAGAGAUCGGGAGGAAUACCAGUGGCGAAGGCGGCCUUCUGGCCUGACACUGACACUGAGGUGCGAAAGCGUGGGUAGCAAACAGGAUUAGAUACCCUGGUAGUCCACGCCGUAAACGAUGUCGACUAGCCGUUGGGACCUUUAAGGACUUAGUGGCGCAGUUAACGCGAUAAGUCGACCGCCUGGGGAGUACGGCCGCAAGGUUAAAACUCAAAUGAAUUGACGGGGGCCCGCACAAGCGGUGGAGCAUGUGGUUUAAUUCGAUGCAACGCGAAGAACCUUACCUACCCUUGACAUCCAGAGAAGUUGGCAGAGAUGCCUUCGUGCCUUCGGGAGCUCUGAGACAGGUGCUGCAUGGCUGUCGUCAGCUCGUGUUGUGAAAUGUUGGGUUAAGUCCCGUAACGAGCGCAACCCUUGUCCUUAUUUGCCAGCACGUAAUGGUGGGAACUCUAAGGAGACUGCCGGUGACAAACCGGAGGAAGGUGGGGACGACGUCAAGUCAUCAUGGCC
rnacentral:rRNA from 1 species